UGAAUAAACACCCUCACAGCAAUAACCUUCGAUGUGAUAGGAAAAUACAAAACAACUUUGGACCAGGACCUACACCAGGAGAACUGACCAGACAGAAAAUGAAGCUGUUCCUGGAGGGAAAGGAAGAGUCUUCUCUCCAUGAUACGUUUCUAGCUGGAUUGCACAGACCCACUCCAGAUGCUGGCCGUCAAUAGCUCCAGAGAACCUCUGUCAAUCACGUUGAAUCGAACAGUUCCUGAUAAACAGUACCUGUGUCAAAUUGCUUUUG